UAGUUCCCUUCCCCCAGGCAAAA
rnacentral:piRNA from 1 species